rnacentral:rRNA from 1 species
UGCCAGCCGCCGCGGUAAUACGGAGGGGGUUAGCGUUGUUCGGAAUUACUGGGCGUAAAGCGCGCGUAGGCGGAUUGGAAAGUUAGAGGUGAAAUCCCAGGGCUCAACCCUGGAACUGCAUCCGAUACUGCCUUGCUAGAGGGCUGGAGGGGGGUCUGGAAUUCUCGGUGUAGCAGUGAAAUGCGUAGAUAUCGAGAGGAACACUAGUGGCGAAGGCGAGACCCUGGACAGAUCCUGACGCUGAGACACAAAGGCUAGGGUAGCGAACGGGAUUAGAUA